rnacentral:rRNA from 1 species
GACGAACGCUGGCGGCGUGCUUAACACAUGCAAGUCGAACGGAAAGGCCCCUUCGGGGGUCCUCGAGUGGCGAACAGGUGAGUAACACGUGAGUAACCAGCCCUUGACUUCGGGAUAACUUCAGGAAACUGGGGCUAAUACCGGAUAGGAAUCCUUGCUGCAUGGUGGGGGUUGGAAAGCUUCGGCGGUUUUGGAUGGACUCGCGGCUUAUCAGCUUGUUGGUGGGGUAGUGGCUUACCAAGGCUUUGACGGGUAGCCGGCCUGAGAGGGCGACCGGCCACAUUGGGACUGAGAUACGGCCCAGACUCCUACGGGAGGCAGCAGUGGGGAAUAUUGCACAAUGGGCGGAAGCCUGAUGCAGCAACGCCGCGUGCGGGAUGACGGCCUUCGGGUUGUAAACCGCUUUCAGCAGGGGCGAAGCUUGUGGUGACGGUACCUGCAGAAGAAGCACCGGCUAACUACGUG